rnacentral:lncRNA from 1 species
GGGGGGACAGGCAGACUGUUUAAAUGGUUCUCAACUCAGGCUGCACAUUAUUGAUAAUGUUAUAUCCUACCAACGAGGACCAAUCAAAUUCUGACCUCAGGGGGUGAGCUCAGGUGCUAGUAUGUUUUCCCGAAUCACAGGGAAGGGUGAGAACCACUGCGGGUCAACAGGCAGCCAGCAGCUGUUCUUGAGGAAAGUGAGCAACAGUUGUUGGCCUCUGCUUUCCCCAGGCCAUCAGGUAGAGGUGCCCGAUUCCCAUUCAGCUCAGAAUCCCUGUGUCCACAUCGCCAUGGUUUCUAGAACUAGUCUUUCACACCCUGUUCCAAUGAGCCUAGUGGUGCUGUCAGUUCACCCUCCCCUUGGGCCUGGUCUUCAAUUUCCUGAUUGCUCUUCGACUACCUUCCUGGUUUCUCAGCCUGCUGGAUCUAAUUUUAGCAACAUGAUGAAUGGCCCAGGAAUGUACUCCACUGCCCUCUGCAGAAAGGAAUAUAUAUCAGACCUGCUCAGGUGUGUGUCAUUUCUUUAUAUCGAGAGCUUUCUGCUCCCCAAGUGGCAGCCCGGGUUUUUCUGGCUGAAAGCCCCAAGUUCUGUCUCCGUUUCGGCUCGCGCAGGCACCGUUAGGAAACGACCAUGUGUGAACAAUAACCAGGUUUGCUAGCUCCAGCCAAUGAGGGAUGUGGCUCUCUUGAGCCUGGGUUUAUUGCACCAGCUAGAAAAUGACCCACUGGGGUUUUUUUCCUCCUCCAAUUCAUUUCUGAGCAGCAACUGCUUGCAGAGGACUACUCCCAAGUCCCCAACCACCAGCUCUCAUUUUUUCCCAUUUUGUCUUUAAGCAGAGAAAUUUCUUUAAAAUGCAGGAAUUAUUCCACUUUGACUAGCACGAUAAGGUAUCAGUAUCUUCUUUUUUUCUUGAGCUCCAAGGAGAAAAUGUUCAUUUUUCUUCCGUGCUACCUGUGAGUUUUCUGGCUGCUUCUGAACAUUCAUCACAGGUACCUGCACCCCACAUCUUGAUAAAACUUUAAUUUUAAAAUGAUGUUGAGGGCACCCGGGUGGCUCAGUCGGCUGGGCAUCUGCCUUCUGCUCAGGUCAUGAUCCCAGGAUCCUGCAGUGGAGACCCGAGUCAGGCUUCUUGCUUAGUGGGGAGUCUGUCUCUGUCUCUCCCUCUCCCCUUCCCCCUCCCUCUCCCCCCUGCUCAUGUGUGCUCUCUCUCUCUCUCUCGUUCUCUCUCAAAUAAAUAAGUAAAAUCUUUUAAAAAAUAAAAUGAC